rnacentral:rRNA from 1 species
GAUGAACGCUAGCGGCAGGCUUAAUACAUGCAAGUCGAGGGGCAGCAUAAGUAGCAAUACUUGAUGGCGACCGGCAAACGGGUGCGGAACACGUACAGAACCUUCCUUCGAGCGGGGAAUAGCCCGAAGAAAUUCGGAUUAAUACCCCAUAGUAUUAUGAAGUGGCAUCACUUUAUAAUUAAAGAUUAUCACUUGAAGAUGGCUGUGCGCCUGAUUA